rnacentral:rRNA from 1 species
GGUUAAGCGACUAAGCGUACACGGUGGAUGCCCUGGCAGUCAGAGGCGAUGAAGGACGUGCUAAUCUGCGAAAAGCGUCGGUAAGGUGAUAUGAACCGUUAUAACCGGCGAUGUCCGAAUGGGGAAACCCAGUGCAAUUCGUUGCACUAUCGUUAACUGAAUACAUAGGUUAACGAGGCGAACCGGGGGAACUGAAACAUCUAAGUACCCCGAGGAAAAGAAAUCAACCGAGAUUCCCCCAGUAGCGGCGAGCGAACGGGGAGCAGCCCAGAGUCUGAAUCAGCUUGUGUGUUAGUGGAACGGUCUGGAAAGUCCGACGGUACAGGGUGAUAGUCCCGUACACCAAAAUGCACAGGCUGUGAACUCGAAGAGUAGGGCGGGACACGUGGUAUCCUGUCUGAAUAUGGGGGGACCAUCCUCCAAGGCUAAAUACUCCUGACUGACCGAUAGUGAACCAGUACCGUGAGGGAAAGGCGAAAAGAACCCCGGCGAGGGGAGUGAAAAAGAACCUGAAACCGUGUACGUACAAGCAGUGGGAGCACCUUCGGGUGUGACUGCGUACCUUUUGUAUAAUGGGUCAGCGACUUAUAUUCUGUAGCAAGGUUAACCGUAUAGGGGAGCCGCAGGGAAACCGAGUCUUAACUGGGCGUUAAGUUGCAGGGUAUAGACCCGAAACCCGGUGAUCUAGCCAUGGGCAGGUUGAAGGUUGGGUAACACUAACUGGAGGACCGAACCGACUAAUGUUGAAAAAUUAGCGGAUGACUUGUGGCUGGGGGUGAAAGGCCAAUCAAACCGGGAGAUAGCUGGUUCUCCCCGAAAGCUAUUUAGGUAGCGCCUCGUGAAUUCAUCUUCGGGGGUAGAGCACUGUUUCGGCUAGGGGGUCAUCCCGACUUACCAACCCGAUGCAAACUACGAAUACCGAAGAAUGUUAUCACGGGAGACACACGGCGGGUGCUAACGUCCGUCGUGAAGAGGGAAACAACCCAGACCGCCAGCUAAGGUCCCAAAGUCAUGGUUAAGUGGGAAACGAUGUGGGAAGGCACAGACAGCCAGGAUGUUGGCUUAGAAGCAGCCAUCAUUUAAAGAAAGCGUAAUAGCUCACUGGUCGAGUCGGCCUGCGCGGAAGAUGUAACGGGGCUAAACCAUGCACCGAAGCUGCGGCAGCGACACUAUGUGUUGUUGGGUAGGGGAGCGUUCUGUAAGCCUGCGAAGGUGUGCUGUGAGGCAUGCUGGAGGUAUCAGAAGUGCGAAUGCUGACAUAAGUAACGAUAAAGCGGGUGAAAAGCCCGCUCGCCGGAAGACCAAGGGUUCCUGUCCAACGUUAAUCGGGGCAGGGUGAGUCGACCCCUAAGGCGAGGCCGAAAGGCGUAGUCGAUGGGAAACAGGUUAAUAUUCCUGUACUUGGUGUUACUGCGAAGGGGGGACGGAGAAGGCUAUGUUAGCCGGGCGACGGUUGUCCCGGUUUAAGCAUGUAGGCUGGUUGUCCAGGCAAAUCCGGAUAAUCAAGGCUGAGGUGUGAUGACGAGGUACUACGGUGCUGAAGUAACAAAUGCCCUGCUUCCAGGAAAAGCCUCUAAGCAUCAGGUAACAUCAAAUCGUACCCCAAACCGACACAGGUGGUCAGGUAGAGAAUACCAAGGCGCUUGAGAGAACUCGGGUGAAGGAACUAGGCAAAAUGGUGCCGUAACUUCGGGAGAAGGCACGCUGGUGUGUAGGUGAAGCCCCUGCGGGUGGAGCUGAGACCAGUCGAAGAUACCAGCUGGCUGCAACUGUUUAUUAAAAACACAGCACUGUGCAAACACGAAAGUGGACGUAUACGGUGUGACGCCUGCCCGGUGCCGGAAGGUUAAUUGAUGGGGUUAUCCGUAAGGAGAAGCUCUUGAUCGAAGCCCCGGUAAACGGCGGCCGUAACUAUAACGGUCCUAAGGUAGCGAAAUUCCUUGUCGGGUAAGUUCCGACCUGCACGAAUGGCGUAAUGAUGGCCAGGCUGUCUCCACCCGAGACUCAGUGAAAUUGAACUCGCUGUGAAGAUGCAGUGUACCCGCGGCAAGACGGAAAGACCCCGUGAACCUUUACUAUAGCUUGACACUGAACAUUGAGCCUUGAUGUGUAGGAUAGGUGGGAGGCUUUGAAGCGUGGACGCCAGUCUGCGUGGAGCCAACCUUGAAAUACCACCCUUUAAUGUUUGAUGUUCUAACGUUGGCCCCUGACCGGGGUUGCGGACAGUGUCUGGUGGGUAGUUUGACUGGGGCGGUCUCCUCCCAAAGCGUAACGGAGGAGCACGAAGGUUAGCUAAUCCUGGUCGGACAUCAGGAGGUUAGUGCAAUGGCAUAAGCUAGCUUGACUGCGAGCGUGACGGCGCGAGCAGGUGCGAAAGCAGGUCAUAGUGAUCCGGUGGUUCUGAAUGGAAGGGCCAUCGCUCAACGGAUAAAAGGUACUCCGGGGAUAACAGGCUGAUACCGCCCAAGAGUUCAUAUCGACGGCGGUGUUUGGCACCUCGAUGUCGGCUCAUCACAUCCUGGGGCUGAAGUAGGUCCCAAGGGUAUGGCUGUUCGCCAUUUAAAGUGGUACGCGAGCUGGGUUUAGAACGUCGUGAGACAGUUCGGUCCCUAUCUGCCGUGGGCGCUGGAGAAUUGAGGGGGCUGCUCCUAGUACGAGAGGACCGGAGUGGACGCAUCACUGGUGUUCGGGUUGUCAUGCCAAUGGCACUGCCCGGUAGCUAAAUGCGGAAGAGAUAAGUGCUGAAAGCAUCUAAGCACGAAACUUGCCCCGAGAUGAGUUCUCCCUGAGACUUUAAGUCUCCUGAAGGAACGUUGAAGACGACGACGUUGAUAGGCCGGGUGUGUAAGCGCAGCGAUGCGUUGAGCUAACCGGUACUAAUGAACCGUGAGGCUUAACCUU